rnacentral:rRNA from 1 species
GAAACUGCCGGUAAUACCGGAUAAUGUCCCCGGACCAAAGGUGUGAUUCCGCCUGGGGAGCGGCCUGCGUCCUAUUAGGUUGUUGGUGGGGUAAUGGCCUACCAAGCCGAAGAUGGGUACCGGGUGUGAGAGUAUGGCCCGGCUCACUGGGACUGAGACACUGCCCAGACACCUACGGGUGGCUGCAGUCGAGAAUCUUCCGCAAUGGGCGCAAGCCUGACGGAGCGACGCCGCGUGCGGGAUGAAGGCCUUCGGGUUGUAAACCGCUGUCAGAGAGGCGGAAAUGCAUGUGGGCUAUCCCAUGUGUUUGACCUAAUCUCAGAGGAAGCGCAGGCUAAGUUCGUGCCAGCAGCCGCGGUAACACGAACUGCGCGAACGUUAUUCGGAAUCACUGGGCUUAAAGAGUCCGUAGGCGGCUUGGAAGGUGGGGUGUGAAAUCCCACAGCUCAACUGUGGAACUGCGCUCCAAACCGUCAAGCUAGAGGGAGUUAGGGGUGAGCGGAACUGAUGGUGGAGCGGUGAAAUGCGUUGAUAUCAUCAGGAACACCGGUGGCGAAGGCGGCUCACUGGAGCUCUUCUGACGCU